CGCACAGGGAAGCGACGUUGAUAGCCGC
rnacentral:sRNA from 1 species